rnacentral:rRNA from 1 species
AGAUAGGAAAACUCCGUUCCGAAACGGGGCAAUGCCGCCUGAUCUUCGAGAGCACGCCCGUCUUCUAUCGAAAGGGAAUCGGGUUAAUAUUCCCGAACCCGGACACGAGAUUGGUCCUCACGGGCCAUGUGCGGUAACVAACGAACUCGGAGACGUCGGUGGGAGUCCCGGGAAGAGUUNUCUUUUCUUUGUAAGGGACGGACUCCCUGGAAUCGGCUUGCCGGAGAUAGGGACGUUGUUCCCGUAAAGCACCGCGGCUCUUGCGUGUCCGGUGCACUCCCAUCGGCCCUUGAAAAUCCGAGGGAGACAGUGUGAUUUUCGUGCCGGACCGUACCAUAUC